AUUGAACGCUGGCGGCAUGCCUUACACAUGCAAGUCGAACGGCAGCGGACCUGGUGCCGGCGAGUGGCGAACGGGUGAGUAAUAUAUCGGAACGUACCUUUCAGUGGGGGAGUAACGUAGCGAAAGUUACGCUAAUACCGCAUAUUCUGUGAGCAGGAAAGCAGGGGAGUCGCAAGACCUUGCGCUGAUUGAGCGGCCGAUAUCAGAUUAGCUAGUUGGUGAGGUAAAGGACUCACCAAGGCGACGAUCUGUAGCGGGUCUGAGAGGAUGAUCCGCCACACUGGAACUGAGACACGGUCCAGACUCCUACGGGAGGCAGCAGU
rnacentral:rRNA from 1 species